UAUUGUCUAAUUGUAAUGGAUUUUAAUUUCUGAGUUUGUCAUCUGAACUUCUGUUGAUUGUGUUCUAAAUUUCUGAUGUUACAUGUGUUGUUGGUUUGUUGAUAAGAUAGAAAUUGUAUAAAUACCGUUGCU
rnacentral:pre_miRNA from 1 species